AUAUCAAUAAGCGGAGGAAAAGAAACCAACAGGGAUUGCCCUAGUAACGGCGAGUGAAGCGGCAACAGCUCAAAUUUGAAAUCUGGCCCCUUCGGGGUCCGAGUUGUAAUUUGCAGAGGAUGCUUCGGCGUCGGCCCCGGGUCAAGUCCCCUGGAACGGGGCGUCCUAGAGGGUGAGAACCCCGUACUCACCUGGGUGUCCGUCGCCGUGUGAAGCUCCUUCGACGAGUCGAGUUGUUUGGGAAUGCAGCUCUAAGCGGGAGGUAAAUUUCUUCUAAAGCUAAAUACCGGCCAGAGACCGAUAGCGCACAAGUAGAGUGAUCGAAAGAUGAAAAGCACUUUGGAAAGAGAGUUAAAAAGCACGUGAAAUUGUUGAAAGGGAAGCUCUUGCCGCCAGACUUGCCGCGGUUGCUCAGCCGUCCCCCGGGGCGGUGUACUCUUCCGUCGGCAGGCCAGCGUCGGUUCGGGCGGCCGGAUAAAGGCCCUGGGAAUGUAGCACCCUUCGGGGUGUGUUAUAGCCCGGGGUGCAAUGCGGCCAGCCCGGUCCGAGGCACGCGUUCGCGAGGACGCUGGCGUAAUGGCUGCAAGCGACCCGUCUUGAAACACGGACCAAGGAGUCUAACAUCUGUGCGAGUGUUUGGGUGUCAAACCCAUACGCGUAAUGAAAGUGAACGGAGGUGGGAACCCCCUCGAGGGGCGCACCAUCGACCGAUCCUGAUGUCUUCGGAUGGAUUUGAGUAAGAGCAUAGCUGUUGGGACCCGAAAGAUGGUGAACUAUUCCCGGAUAGGGUGAAGCCAGAGGAAACUCUGGUGGAGGCUCGCAGCGGUUCUGACGUGCAAAUCGAUCGUCAAAUCUAGGAAUAGGGGCGAAAGACUAAUCGAACCA
rnacentral:rRNA from 1 species